rnacentral:rRNA from 1 species
UGCCAGCAGCCGCGGUAAUACGAAGGGGGCUAGCGUUGUUCGGAAUCACUGGGCGUAAAGCGCACGUAGGCGGAUUUGUAAGUUAGGGGUGAAAUCCCGGGGCUCAACCUCGGAACUGCCUUUGAUACUGCAAGUCUAGAGUCCGAGAGAGGUGAGUGGAAUUCCUAGUGUAGAGGUGAAAUUCGUAGAUAUUAGGAAGAACACCAAACGCGAAGGCAUUCUGCUGGUCAUUACCUGACGCUGAGGGACGAAAGCGUGGGGAGCGAACGGGAUUAGAUA